UACAGCAAACAGCAUCCGAUUGGGUCAUGGGUGAUUUCAAAAGAAGCGCUCUUAAUUAAUUUUAAGAUCAAUUGCAGAUUUUUUGGUUUGUUGCAGGCCGCACAAUUACUAAAAAAAGGUUUCGAUUUGUGGAUGUGAACAAUCGAAUACGCCGUGUCCGCUGCAAACACCGUCGAUCCCUCCAUAAAAUGACCGAAUUGUAUAAGAGAUUUUUUACCAGUGACCGCUGCCAUAUACCUGUGAGAUCCGUGGAGUUGGCCGUCUUCUCCAGGUGAUCACCCGAGGAUUCCGAGACCGUUUCGCAAACCGCUACUACCGCCUACCUUGACCAGGGGCAAGGCCGCAUCCUUUAGUGGCGUUCGAGUACGUGAAAAGCGUUUUUUUUGUUUUCAGGUUACUUUUAUAUUAUAUUAUAUUGCGGCACGACAAAUUUGACAACUGUUUGCGUCCGUUUUAAUUAUUUUAGCUCGAUUUGCUACAUUAGCCGAUAAAAAAUCCGUUUGUUUCAUAACGAACAAUUAUAGAAGCAUAACUUCCGUAAAUCUCACUGCGAUAUUCUGCGCACCAAAAGCUGUAUACCCCAAAAAUGCCAUCGGGUUUACCAAGAAAAAGUAAGCAACUUGUUUAUAAUCUUAUUCUUUAUUUUGAACGAGAAAGAAAUAAUGGGGGUCCACUUAUAACAGUCGCUGCAGUAAGAGAGGUGAAAUUACGUUUGUAUUUUAGCACAUCUUACGUUUCAAUCCCUUUUGCAAGUUUUAAAAGAAGAAGAAGACGUAUUAAUAGGUCCAAAAGUUCCUUAAGAAAAGUUGUUGCAAAUAUUGGUCUCCGCUAUCAAAAAGGUAAUCCAAGAAAAGGUUCAAUAGAGUUACCCAAUUUAGCACUGACAAGAGUCAAUUUUUUAUAUGCGAUUAAAAUAUGUACAUCAUGGUAAAACGAGAGUGCAAAAAUCGCAAGAAGAAUUAAACCCGAGGGUCACAGCUAACAUACUGGUAUUGAUGAGAAGAAUAUCAUCUUACUAUCUAAUUUUAUGUGGUUUUACGUGCCGAAAGCCUCAAUAAAGUACCUUUUUUCUUUUCGUCUUUUUUGUUUACUAUACGAUACUGUUAUUAUUAUUGUUAUAGCUUUGUGUGUAUGGAGCAAUAAAUAAACAAAUAAAGAUCUUUAAUUUUUGCUUCAAAAACAAAUGUUCCAGAUUACCAUAGGGAAAUAAACAAGGGCAGUUUUCUGAAGUGGUUUGGGGACAAUUUCCUACCAAAUUUAGAAAAACCAUCGCUAACUAGAUUAUGGACAAUGUUAGUUAUCACUACAGUAACUUACUAGAAAACUUCCUUCCUGGACUAUAGCACAACUACAGGCAUGGCUACAGCACAAAAAUGUUGAGUCUCCAAAUGGAUUGGUGGAGUUGUUACAAGAAACAAACCUUCAAAACGGUAUAGUACUGAUGAGAUGGCGUUAGAAAAUGGACAUGCCGUACUACGGAAUUUGCAAACAACAUUAAGAUUUGAAGUCAACAAAAUGGCUGGUCAAAGGCGCCUGCGGUGUUUUAAAAUUCAUGGGAAGAUCCGAAAGGAAAAAGGGUUAGGCGAAAGUUUAUCGCCAUUGCAACGUUCAACAACCAGUUGGAAUGAUGCGAGUUGAUGUUUUGGAAAAAUAUGACGUUCCUAGAA